rnacentral:misc_RNA from 1 species
CGAAGUUCCUCAAUGGAGGCCGGAGAAGGGUCGACGUCGAACAAGAAACUGCGGAAGCCCUACACCAUCACCAAGUCGAGGGAUCGCUGGACCGAGGAGGAGCACGAGAGGUUCCUCGAUGCCCUACUCAUGUUUGGUCGUGGCUGGAAGAAAAUUGAAGACUUCGUUGGUACCAAGACUGUGAUCCAGAUCCGAAGUCAUGCUCAAAAGUACUUUCAGAAGGUUCAGGCAAGUGGGAUGAUGGCAAAUCUACCUCCUCCCCGUCCGAAACGUAAAGCGGAUCAUCCCCUUCAACAGAAAACUUCUUACGGUGUGGUACCUAUGCAAGCAUCCAAAAUUUGCUCUUCCGCCUCCAGUUGCCUUCUUCCUGCAUGCUCUCCUUGGGAUGACAGGUCUAUGCAGCCUAUGCUCAUAAAUUAUUCUUCUGCCGACGCAAUAUACACACCGGAUUAUUUUCCUGCUCUUCCUGAGGUUAAAGGUGAUACUGGAUUUGCAGGGGUUGGGACUCUUGACUACCAAAACAAUGGUUGGACUGGCAGUUCUAGUAGACCAUGGCAGACCUAUGAGGUUCCGAAGCUAGCGGAUUCACAUGCAUCAUAUCCUGCAAUCCCAAAUUUCACCGAGGUGUACAACUUCAUUGCCAGCAUGUUUGAUCCAUUCGUUAAAUGUCCAUUGGCACAUUUUCUGCGAAAGCUGAAGGAGAUGGACCCUAUCACAGCUAAAACUGUUUUGGUAUUGGUGAAAAAUCUCACUAUCAAUAUGUCAAGUCCUGAUUUUGAAUCACUUGGCAUGUGGUUAUCGACAUACGACGGAAAUACGAAAACAUCCCGAAUGAAUAACACGCCGGCUGUUGCUGCUCGUGCACACCAGAUUCAUAGCAUGCCAAGCCAAGGAAUUUACUGUUUACCGCCGCCACCGUAAGCAUUGCAUGUCGUGAAGGGCUUCUUCAUCUUGCUACAAAACAUGUCGUGAAGGGCUUCUUCAUCUUGCUACAAAA